CAGGCUAGAAGCCAUGGCACCAGCCUUCGCUUCUGUUGCACCACUGACUUCGACAGUCAGUGAGAGGCAUGAAAGGAGACAAGAUUCAUUCCUCUCCUUUCCUCAAGUGACCAGCAUGGCUUUUAAAAUGAGAUCAGACUGUGCCUGAGAUUUACUUCAAAAUAAUUUGCGGGAGAAGGUAAGGAGGAGGUACACCAGCCAGAGUUCUCCAUCUGGGACCACAUCCUCAAGACACAGAAAUGGCAAUUUUAUAACAAGGAAAAAUAACAUUUCAUUGUCAGUACCUCCUUCCCCCUACCCCAACCCCCAAAGAUGAAGAUAGACAAAGCUUUAGAUAAUUGUCUACAGUGAUCCCCUGAGAGAUGAAAUCCUCUAUCUGAAUCAUAAUUGUUGACUCGGCAAUAAGCACAUAAUUCCCCUUCUCCCUAAAUGUUUUACACACUCCACUGAAAUCUGUCACCUUAAUACACACAGACAUUAUAUCUCUCAGAAAAUAAAAGCUUGAGGUAGGAAGGAAAUUUCUCUCUUGUACACUGCUGUAUCCCCGAAACCUAGAACAGUACCUGGCACUCAAUAAA